rnacentral:rRNA from 1 species
ACCGUCCCAGUUCGGAUUGCAGGCUGCAACCCGCCUGCAUGAAGUUGGAAUCGCUAGUAAUCGCGGAUCAGCAUGCCGCGGUGAAUACGUUCCCGGGCCUUGUACACACCGCCCGUCACACCAUGAGAGUCGGGAACACCCGAAGUCCGUAGCCUAACCGCAAGGGGGCGCGGCCGAAGGUGGGUUCGAUAAUUGGGGUGAAGUCGUAACAAGGUAGC